CAAUGCUUUCCUGCUCAUGGUAUCCUUUAGCCUCUAUUCCCUGUAUAUUCUUAAAAGCAUGUAGCUGUAUCUGAAGUCUUGAUUACACACAGGUUCAAUUUAUUUGGCAAGAACAUUUUAGGUGAUUCAGAGUUCUUACUGUGUCACACUAGAAGCACUAAUGUUCCAUUUCUAGUGAAGACUCAUCACCAGCUGACUUGAAGGAAAGACGGGAAAAACAUCUUCAGCACAAGGGGCAAUAAUGUAUGUCCUGAAACAAGGACUAUUUAAGAGUUAAAGGAUACCAGUGAAACUGGAGAACUUGUGUUUAUACUGAUAGGUUUGCUAACCGGUGAACUGGUGUCCACAAGAGAAGAGGAAGAGGCACCAGGGAUGUGUGGAUACAAAAAAUGCCACGAGUGAGAAGGUGGCCAUCUGCAAAACAAGGAGGAAGGCCUCAGGAGAAACCCAAUCCACUGACAUCUUGGAUUUCCGGCUUCCAGAAUUACGAGAAAAACAUUUCUGCUGUAUACAUGUUUCCUGAAUGAUGAAAUGAGUAUGUCUUUCCUAUUUUAUAUAAUUUCUCCCAGACAUAAUAAUACAUCACAAGUAGUCAUUAUUUCAGAAUUCUGAAUAGUGAAGUUAUUAAGAAGUAUUGCUCUGACAGCAAUCUGGAAGAUAGAACAGAGGAAGGAGGAAGACUAAACUGGAAGAGUAAGUAACUGUAAAACCAGAAAUUCAAAUUAGAAUAGGACUAUCAAAUUGGAAAAGAAUAUAAAUGUAACAUUUAGGACAGAAUUACAGGAAUUAGGAAGAGUUUCUGGGAAGAGGGUGAGAUAAUAGCAUUUACAAGGACCCCCAGGCGCUUGAUGGGAGAAAUAAGACACAUCAUGACGCUACUUAACGAAAUCCAGAUACAGGGGAGAACCAGGUCAAUGGAAGAAAUAAGUGACUGUCUUGGAAGUAAUGACUCUGAAGUGGAGUUUGUGCAGCAAGCUACUGAGCACACGAGUCUGGACCUCAAGAAAGAGGUCAAGGCUUGAGGAGAAGACAGGAGUAGUAUACAUUAGCCAUGCCCAAGAAUGGUUACACAUGUUUCCUGGAGCCAAACUGGGUAAAUAUAUACCUCAAUUUUCCUAUCAAUGUAUCUUCAUUAAUCCUACACCUUUACUGGGUUAAUCUCUCAAGGUACACUAUGUAUCUCAGAGAGUUUUAUAUACCAACAAUAUAGAAAAGAAUAAUUCAGAGUUUUAUUGAGAAUUUCUAAUUCCAGGGUUAAUUCCUUGUUAGAUCAGAUCAGAUUAGAUAAUCAUUUUAAAAGCACAAAUUGGUUAACCACAAACAUGGACCAAGAUUAGACAAGUAAGUUCUGCCAUUUUCUUGUUCAACUGUGCUUACAUUAUAAUUAGCACAGUAUAUCCAAUCAAACUCUUUUCGGAUAGCAUCUUUUAAAGACACUUUUCCAUUUGAUGAGGGUAUCUACACAACCUCUAAGUGCGCGUGACUAUGCAUGUAUAAGCUGUUACUCAUUGUUACAGACUGAAAGCAAACAAGUGAAUGACUACAGUCAACCCCUUAACACUACACACUUCCUUGUCUUCUUCAGCAGACAUCAUGUAUGUUAGUGAUCUGUGCCUGUUACUGAUGAAAAGGAAUAUCAAUAUUUAAAUACAUUAAAUGUAAAUAAAUGCAUCAAAUAUGAAUGAAGGCUUUAAAAAAUAAAUUUAGAGAAAAAUAAACAGAAGUUAAAUAUUUUCUACUGUGUGCCACAUAAUCAUCUUAUACGUUCUUCUUUGUAAACUACUGUUGAAAAAUUAUGGGAUGAGCAUUUUGUACAACAGUUAAGCAGGUGCUUGGGAUGCCCACAUCCCAUAUCUGAGUGCCUAGGUUACAGUCUCACCUUUGCUCUCUAUUUCAGUUUCUGGCUAAUGUGCACCCUGGGAAGCUGAUGAGAAGACAGCUCCAGCCAUUGGGUCUCUGCCAACAACAUGGGAGACCUGGAUUGGAUUUCUCGCUCCUGUCUUUGGCCUGGUCCAGCUAUAGGUGUUGUGCUAGUUGAACUAGUGGAUGGGAGAGCUCUCUGCUUCUCUAUCUCUUUGCCUUUGAAAUAAAUAAAAAUUACAAAAAAAAAGAAAAAAGA